UAGUAAUGGCAGGUCAGCAUACUGCCGUGAAUACGUUCCCGGGCCUUGUACACACCGCCCGUCACACCAUGAGAGUUGGAGAUACCCGAAGCCUGUGAGCUAACAAACGAGGCAGCAGUCGAAGGUAGAAUCAAUGAUCGGGGUGAAGUCGUAACAAGGUAGC
rnacentral:rRNA from 1 species